CUGCUGCCUCCCGUAGGAGUUUGGGCCGUGUCUCAGUCCCAAUGUGGCCGUCCACCCUCUCAGGCCGGCUACUGAUCGUCGCCUUGGUGGGCCGUUACCUCACCAACUAGCUAAUCAGACGCGGGUCCAUCAUAUACCACCGGAGUUUUUCACACCUGGCCAUGCGGCCAUGUGCGCUUAUGCGGUAUUAGCACCUAUUUCUAAGUGUUAUCCCCCUGUAUAUGGCAGGUUACCCACGCGUUACUCACCCGUCCG
rnacentral:rRNA from 1 species